UACUGAGGAGGGGUCCUCGUGGGCCUUUA
rnacentral:sRNA from 1 species